rnacentral:rRNA from 1 species
AGGACGAACGCUGGCGGCGUGCUUAACACAUGCAAGUCGAGCGGUAAGGCCUUUCGGGGUACACGAGCGGCGAACGGGUGAGUAACACGUGGGUGAUCUGCCCUGCACUCUGGGAUAAGCCUGGGAAACUGGGUCUAAUACCGGAUAUGACCUGCUCUCGCAUGGGGGUGGGUGGAAAGAUUUAUCGGUGCAGGAUGGGCCCGCGGCCUAUCAGCUUGUUGGUGGGUAAUGGCCUACCAAGGCGACGACGGGUAGCCGACCUGAGAGGGUGACCGGCCACGACUGGGACUGAGACACGGCCCAGACUCCUACGGGAGGCAGCAGUGGGAAUAUGCACAAUGGGCGAAAGCCUGAUGCAGCGACGCCGCGUGAGGAUGAAGGCCUUCGGUUGUAAACCUCUUUCAGCGAGGACGAAGCGCAAGUGACGGUACUGCAGAAGAAGACACCGGCUAAC